GUCCACGCCGUAAACGAUGGAUGCUAUCCGUACGAGGUUUUCGACCCUUUGUGCGGAACAGCUAACGCGAUAAGCAUCCCGCCUGGGUAGUACGAACGCAAGUUUAAAACUCAAAGGAAUUGACGGGGACCCGCACAAGCAGUGGAGUAUGUGGUUUAAUUCGAUGCUAAGCGAAAACCUUACCGAGGCUUGACAUCCCAGGAAUCUCGCAGAAACGUGAGAGUGCCUUCGGGAGCCUGGUGACAGGUGCUGCAUGGCCGUCGU
rnacentral:rRNA from 1 species